rnacentral:rRNA from 1 species
UACGUAGGCAGCAAGCGUUGUUCGGAGUUACUGGGCGUAAAGAGUGUGUAGGCGGUUCUCUAAGUUCCGUGUGAAAUCUCCCGGCUCAACUGGGAGGGUGCGCGGAAAACUGGAGGGCUUGAGUAUGGGAGAGGAAAGCGGAAUUCCUGGUGUAGCGGUGAAAUGCGUAGAUAUCAGGAGGAACACCGGUGGUGUAGACGGCUUUCUGGACCGUAACUGACGCUGAGACACGAAAGCGUGGGUAGCAAACAGGA